UGGGGCAGGGAUGGACAUCAUUCUGUAGAGGUCUUUGUGCUGGCCUGUGUGCAUUUCCACACAGAUGUACAUAUGCACACACACCAUGCCAGUGCUCUGGGGCCAAGGUCAAGCUCUUCUCACAGACAGGGAUUAGAAAGAGGCUGCUUCUGGAUUCUGAGGCUGUAGUCCCGACUCAGGAGAGAAUCCAUCGGUCCCAGGACAGAGUGUAGCUGACAGUGCUGGGGUCCAGGUGCUCUGCUGGGAGGAGCUGAGUGCUUCUUAGGCCACUAGGGCCCUUUUCCAUGCUAGGCACAUCAGAGGAUAACUCUGCGGUCCAGGUGAUCCCCUCGCCCACUGCGCUGGUGUCUUACUUCCAGGUGCUGUUUCUGGACUUUUUCAAAGUGCUGCAGCAGCUCUGUGUAGUCGAUGCUGGGGGAGUCACCUUUCUGGGACUUGGGGGCCGCUUUCAGACAGUCUCUGGGAAGAUGGACAGAAGUCAGAGUCAGUGUCUGCAUCAUGGUAGGUGCUGGUGGGGUUCAGUCUCUGGGCACCUGUGGGUCCCUGCCCAAGACAUCUUCCCAGCAGCCAGACCCAUAGUGCUUAGGGUCCCAUGUCCACCCCCUUUCCUGCAGCUGGUGGGAACAGCCAACCCGCUGCUUGGAUGUCUGUCGGCCUGUGGGCUGUUGAUGGCGCCCGGAGCGUUGCAUGGGGGAGCACUUCCUGUUUACCAGUGGCUCCCUUUAGGGUGAGAGCCAGGGCCAGCAGCCAGCCAGGAAGGCAGCUGGGGCCUGGAACAGGGUCUGGGGAGAAGGGGGAGGCGGUAGCCCAGCCUUUUCUCUGUGGUAUGGCUGAGACUGCAGACAGCUGGGAUCGGUGAAGUCUCUCUGUUGGACCUAUAACUUGGCAGGCCUUGGGUCCCAAGGCCUGUGAUCACUACCUGCUCCCAGAGAAGAGCUUGUCUUACCACAGGACAUGCUGACCCACCUACACUCCUUCCAAUUGACGGACCAAUCCUGUAGCCUCUCAUCAGCUGGGUUUAGCUUGCCACCCAGGGUCCAGUCCCAUUCCUAACUGUCCUUAUUCUGUUCCCCACACUCCAUUCUGCCUCACUGGCUUAGAGCCCUGGCAAAGGGUUUCAUGAAGGCUGUGACCAACUCGGCUGAGCGGACUCCCUGGGGCCUCUGGGUGGGUGAAGAGGCUGACUGAAGCAGAGGAAAUAGGAUAGCAGACCUGGCCUAGACAUCUGACCUUACACACAAACCUCCAUCCUAGUCUGUAAGAGGUUGCCACAGGAGACAUGUCACGUCCCCGAGUAUAAGGUUCCCUCCCGCUGUGACAUGACAGAAACUUGCCUGUGUCCAGCCCCAGCUCAGGUAUGAGAUGGGUAGCUACAUACAGCUCUACCACUCCUCGAGCAGGCAGCCCAGGGCCUGGUACACUUGGCUGCUCUGUCUAGAGCUCCCACGAUGGCACCUUCCCCAGUGAGGUUGGCCAAGUGAGAAAAACCAAUGGCUUUAAGCCUGAAGGCACUGCUGUGGCCUGUUGAAUUUCAGGCUAGGAGCAGGGCACAACUACUCCCAGAUGCAGCUUUGGGAACCUGAGUCUACCUCCCACACCCUGGCCCACACUGCUCCUUUCCUCUCUUGAGGAGAACACACACUGCCUGAAAACAUCUUAGAUAGC
rnacentral:lncRNA from 1 species